AGACGGAAAGACCCCGUGAACCUUUACUACAGCUUUACAUUGAACUUUGACCUUACCUGUGUAGGAUAGGUGGGAGGCUUUGAAGUGAGGACGCUAGUUCUCAUGGAGCCAACGUUGAAAUACCACCCUGGUGUGUUUGAGGUUCUAACCUAGGUCCAUUAUCUGGAUCGGGGACAGUGCAUGGUAGGCAGUUUGACUGGGGCGGUCUCCUCCCAAAGCGUAACGGAGGAGUUCGAAGGUACGCUAGUUACGGUCGGACAUCGUGACGAUAGUGCAAUGGCAUAAGCGUGCUUAACUGCGAGACUGACAAGUCGAGCAGAGACGAAAG
rnacentral:rRNA from 1 species